CUUGAAUCAUGCAGCUAGACGACUUUGAUUUAGUCGUCUAAACAGACAAUUGUGUUUGCUACACAUGCAUACACGGGUAACCGUAAUGGACACAGUAAUGGUGUCACGACCACAGGUAAAGACAGUGGUCUUCACAUGACACUGAACAUACAAGAGUACGAGUAUAAGCCCGGUCCACAGGAUGCCGUAGGGAUAAAACGGCUUCAUUGUCCACGAUUCCAAGGAAGUUCCUAUCGUCCACAUUAAGGGUCAGCCAUUUUCACCUGGAAACGCCGUCUUCAUUGGACUCAACUUGAAAGAGGUAGUGAUGCUUUCAAACCCUCAAGGGAAUUGUGAGGACAAGAAGAAACUGUAAUACUUUGAAACCUACACCCGAGAAAACCGUCGGAUGAAUUGUUUGGGGAUAAGAUCCAAUGAAGUCUGUGGUAUAGUGCAGCCUGUAUGCCACAUA